rnacentral:rRNA from 1 species
CCUACGGGAGGCAGCAGUGGGGGAUAUUGCACAAUGGGGGAAACCCUGAUGCAGCGACGCCGCGUGGGCGAAGAAGUAUUUCGGUAUGUAAAGCCCUAUCAGCAGGGAAGAAGAAAUGACGGUACCUGAGUAAGAAGCACCGGCGAAAUACGUGCCAGCAGCCGCGGUAAUACGUAGGGUGCAAGCGUUAUCCGGAUUUACUGGGUGUAAAGGGAGCGCAGGCGGCAGGGCAAGCCUGAUGUGAAAGCCCGGGGCCCAACCGCGGGACUGCAUUGGGAACUGCCGGGCUGGAGUACCGGAGGGGUAGGCGGAAUUCCUAGUGUAGCGGUGAAAUGCGUAGAUAUUAGGAGGAACACCAGUGGCGAAGGCGGCCUGCUGGACGGUGACUGACGCUGAGGCUCGAAAGCGUGGGGAGCAAACAGGAUUAGAUACCCUUGUAGUC